GAGUGAACGCUGGCGGCAGGCCUAACACAUGCAAGUCGAGCGGCAGCGGGUCCCCGCGAGGGGAUGCCGGCGAGCGGCGGACGGGUGAGGAACACAUCGGAAUCUGCCUGGUUGUGGGGGAUAACGUAGGGAAACUUACGCUAAUACCGCAUGCGACCCUGAGUCGACGGACUGGGGGUGAAAGUGAGGGACCUUCGGGCCUCACGCGACCAGAUGAGCCGAUGUCGGAUUAGCUAGUUGGCGGGGUAACGGCCCGCCAAGGCGACGAUCCGUAGCUGGUCUGAGAGGAUGAUCAGCCACACUGGGACUGAGACACGGCCCAGACUCCUACGGGA
rnacentral:rRNA from 1 species